UGUCCUACGGGGGGCAGCAGUGAGGAAUAUUGGUCAAUGGGCGAGAGCCUGAACCAGCCAAGUCGCGUGAGGGAAGACGGUCCUAUGGAUUGUAAACCUCUUUUGCCGGGGAGCAAAAAGCGGUACGUGUACCGCAUCGAGAGUACCCGGAGAAAAAGCAUCGGCUAACUCCGUGCCAGCAGCCGCGGUAAUACGGAGAAUGCGAGCGUUAUCCGGAUUCAUUGGGUUUAAAGGGUGCGCAGGCGGGCCUUUAAGCCGGCGGGGAAA
rnacentral:rRNA from 1 species